rnacentral:ncRNA from 2 species
AGCUCAUCCAGAGGGGCAGAGGGAAACGGCCCGGUGAAGCCCCGGCAACCCUCCAGCCGGUCUCGUCUUUUCACAAGCGAGGCUCCCGGCUAGGGAAGGUGCCAAAUCCGUCUCGCGGCGAGAUGCGCCGUGAGGAAGAUGAGGA